rnacentral:rRNA from 1 species
AGGAUCAUUAANGAAAUACAAGGACGCUCUUUUUAGAGGUCCGACCUAAAUCAUUUUCCUUUACACUGUGCACAUACUAUUUUUUACACCAUUUUAACGCAUUAGUAUAAGAAUGUAAUCAGUCUCUUAAUUGAGCAUAAAACAAUCAAAACUUUCAGCAACGGAUCUCUUGGCUCCCACAUCGAUGAAGAACGCAGCGAAAUGCGAUACGUAAUGUGAAUUGCAGAAUUCAGUGAAUCAUCGAAUCUUUGAACGCACCUUGCACUCUUUGGUAUUCCGAAGAGUAUGUCUGUUUGAGUGUCAUGAAACUCUCAACCCCCUCAUUUUGUAAUGAAGUGAGCGUGGGCUUGGAUUAUGGUUGUUGCUGGCGUCAAGUCAGCUCAACUGAAAUAUACGAGCAACCCAGUUUGAAACAGACGGCUUGACUCGGCGUAAUAACUAUUUCGCUGAGGACGUCCAUUUCAAUAUAGUGGUGCUUCUAAUGCAUUAAUCAUUUAAGCUUUAGACCUCAAAUCAGUCAGGACUACCCGCUGAACUUUAAGCAUAUCNAUAAGCGGAGGAAAAGAAACUAACAAGGAUUCCCCUAGUAACGNCGAGUGAAGUGGGAAAAGCUUCAACUUUUGAAAUCUGNCNGCUUCGCUGUCCGAGUUGUANUCUCGAGAAGUGUUUUCCGA